CUUUUAUAUCUGUGACAUUUAUUUGCAAGGAAAUUGGUUUCCUGCUUGAUGUCCUACAAGGUAUUUGUUGGGAUUCAGCCUCACCCAAAAUAAUGAUUAUGAUGACAAUAGCAGCUACUCAGUACCAGGAGCACUGCUUACCUCAUCUCUAAUCCUCCCUGCAGUCCUGAGUGGAGGCCAUAUGAAGACACAGAGAGACACACGAAGAAGGCCAUACAGCAGCCAAGGCAGAGCUGGAGUGACGAACCUGGAACCCAAAGAACACCAAAGAGUGCCAGCCGCCACCGGAAGCCAGGAAAAGACAAGGAAAGAUUUUUCCUAGAGCCUUUGGAGGCAGCGUGACCCUGCCGAAACCUUGAUCUUGGACUUGCAGCCUUCAGAACGAUGAGAAAACUAAGGCCCAAAGGGACACCUGGCUUUCCUAAGACCUGUAAGUGGAAGAGUCAGCAUUUGAAUGGAGAACUCGCAGCUUUCGGAGUCUAGACUUGUUUUACCUCACCAGACUGCUUCUACUCCUAGUGAUUCCUUCCCUUAGAUUAAGCCUUGCUCUCUUCCCGUGCAAUCAUGAAGAGGAUUAUAUUAGUAAAUCCCUGAACAUUCCCUGAUUGGGGAGUGAGGGUCAAACCAAGGCAAAUGGCAGGAUUGACACUCACAUCAAGGGCUGGCUCAUUAAGGGCUCGGGACCUGGCGAUCGAGUUGCAUUGCAGAUUUUGGAAGUAUGCAAGACCACGCCAGCCACCUUUCCAGGGAGAGACCAUGCAAAGAAGGCAGGUGAUCCAAGGGCUGGGAGUGGUGAGGACUGCUCCAGCCCCUGAGCAGCUGUCAUCCCAGCACAAAGUGUCAGAAGAGACCUCAAAGUGUGGUCUGCAGACGAGGCAGCAUCUGCAUCACCUGGGAGCUUGUUAGAAAUGCAGAAUCUUCUGAGAGAACCAGACCUGCUGCAUCAAAAUCUGCAUUUUAACAAGAUUGUAACUUAGAUACACAGUAACACUUAAAAAGGAUGGGGCAGAGAGGCUAAGUCAGCAGCUUCUCAUCACACUCCAAUCUGAUGCUGCUAGUGCUCCAAAAAGCUCUCAUAUCCUCACUGACUAGCCUAGGGCUGUGUCUAUCAAUGCAUUAUAUGACACAGAUGAAGACUAUUGUGUACCUUCCUCAAUUUUUACCCCAUUGUUUCAGCCUUUUGUACAUCUUUAAUGCAAACAUCCAUGCGAGAAUUCUUGUGACAUUAAUUUUUUGGAACAACCUGUUUUGCAGAGCAAAUUUCAUUAAGCCAUUUUAAUCCAGAGUUUAAUUUUUUAUACAGCUCGACUCAAUCAUUUCCAUUUUUUUUCCAUUAGAAUGUCUAUUUGUAGUAACAUUAUUUUCAUGGGAUCAAUUAUUUUCUGUUUAAAUUUACAACAGGCAUUUGACUCAUCAGUCUCUUUUUAUAUACCAUCUUUUUGCUGAUUCUGACUUCUGCUAUUUGGAGAGGUUUUCUUGUUUGUGUGUUUGAUUCUUUUGUGGCCAUUCUUUCUAUUAAGUGAAAAUCGUCUGGAUCAAAUUUUGUAGAUUUAAAUUUUGUUAUUAGUGAUACCUGUUUUUUUUCCCUGUCAAUUUUAGCUCAUUACACAUUCUAGUCAUUUUAACCCUGCUAGUUUUGUUAGUUGCUGAUCACUUUUACCAUACCAGUAAUACGUGGUAGAAAUAAUCACCAGAAUGAAAACUCUGCAAAGGCAGGAUUUCUGUCCCUUUUUUUUUUUGUUUUUUUUUUUUUCCUGCCUUAUACUUGAGACUUAGUGCAUGGCACAUAGAAAGUGCUCCAUAUGGCCAGGCGCAGUGACUCACGCCUGUAAUCCUUGCACUUUGGGAAGCCAAGGCAGGUGGAUCACUUGAGGUCAGGAGUUUGAGACCAGCCUGGCCAACAUGGUGAAACCCCGUCUGUACUAAAAAUACAAAACAUUAGCCAGGCAUGGUGGCGGGCACCUGUAGUCCCAGCUACUCGGGAGGCUGAGGCAGAGAAUCACUUGAACCCAGGAGGCAGAGGUUGUGGUGAGGUGAAGUCACACCACUGCACUCCAGCCUGGGUGACAGAGCGAAACUCCAUUUAAAAAAAAAAGAAAGAAAGUACUCCAUAAAUAUUUGUAGGUGGAAAGAAUGAUAUUCACAUAUGAUUUAAUCAAAGACUGACAGUUUAUCUAUUUGAUAAAAAGACUGUGAGAAGCAGAGAUUGAUGGAGACAGGAGAGAAAGUGGAGGAGAAGAGAAGAUGGAGACAGCACACACACAUGCACAGACUUGAACAUGCAGACACACAUUGCACAUGCACAUGCAUGCACACAGCCACACACGUAUACACAAACACACAUGCGUGCACACAGCCACACGUAUACACAAACACAUGCGUGCACACACCACACACAUAUAUGUAAGCACACAUGCAUGCACACAGGCAUACACAUAUACAUAAACACGCAUGCACACAGCCACACACAUAUACACACAAGCAUGCACAUACACAGAGGCAUAUAUACACAUGCACUAACAUACGCAUAGUCACAGAUACACCUGUAGGUGCAAACACCUAUAUAUGUGUUCACAUUCAUACACGGGAGUUAUUAUAUUUGUGCUCACACAUGUAGAGGGUAGAAUUGUGGUUAUUAGAUGCUGGGAAGAGUAGAGGAAGAGAAGAUAGGGAGAGGCUGGUUGGUGGAUACAAAGUUACAGCUGAAUGAGAGAUAAUUUUGACUGUUCUGUAUACUGUAGGAUGAAUAUGGUUAACAAUAACUUAGUGUAUAUUUUCAAAAAGCCAGAAGAGAGGAUCUUGAAUGUUCACAGCACAAAUAAAUGAUAAAUGUUUGAGGUGAUGGAUAUGCUACUCUGAUUUGAUCAUUACACAUUGUAUAAAUGUAUUGAAAAAUCACUCUGUAUCCCAUAAAUAUGUAUAAUUAUUAUGCAUCAACUAAAAAUUAAAGACCACACAUAUAUGCACACAUAGACAUGCACAUGAACACACAUACUCAUGCAUAUGUGUAUACAUGCAGAGUUACACAUAUACACAAACACACAUAUAUGCACACAUAGACAUGCACAUGAACACACAGACAUACUCAUGCAUAUGCGUAUACAUGCACAGUUACACAUACACACACAUGCACACAUAGACAUGCACAUGAACACACAGACAUACACAUGCAUAUGCGUAUACAUGCAGUUACACAUAUACACAAACACACAUAUAUGCACACAUAGACAUGCACAUGAAGACACUAUGCACAUGUCCACACAUGCACACAGCCACACACAUACAUAUAUACACAAAUACCCAUAAAUAUGCACAUGUAGACAGCAUGCACACAGAGAUACAUAUGCACACACACAGCCACAUGUAUACACACUUGUGCAAAUGUAUGCACACACAGACACACAUAUGCCCAUACAUAGGCAUAUACACGUACAGAUUCAGAUAUAAACACAUACAAACACUCAUGUACAUAUGCAAACACAUGUACACACACAGUCUGCUGGCAUAGUGAUGGCUAAACCAAUGCAGGGUAGGGUAAAAUGUCUCUGGUGCAAGGUCAGUAGGAUAAAAUCUGCAGGAUCAAAUGGAAUGCUUAACAACACUCCUCUGUGGGGUAUCAGUGUCUCCAUUUUACAACCAGUGCUUAAUCAAAUGCACAUUGAGUUGAACUGAAUAUUGGAAAAUGAAUUGCUACCUUUGAAUGAAUCUACUGAAAAAUUAUACUUGUCCUGGGUCAGACCGUGUGAAAAGCACUGGGUAUUGGAGAUGAAAAGUGGUUGGCCCUUUUUCUUUGAAAGCUUAGUCCAGUGGGGAAGAUGGAUGUGGAAGCUGAGCAAUUAAAAUGCAGCUUGAUAAAAGCUGUGCUGAAAAACCCUCACUGAGCUGAGCAGUGGGGGCUGGGAGGGAGCAGGUCUUAAACUGAAUGAUCAGGUUUAGUGGGAGCUGUUUAAAUUCUGAGCCAUCAGGCAUUUUUGCUGGAUUCCUUUCGGUGCGCUUGUUAAUCAAUUAUAAAAUAAUAAUAAUGAACACUUCAGGAGAGAGGAUGGAGGUUGAAAGACAGUGGAGGGCUGGACUUGAGGUUGGAAGAUUUGCAGAGACCUGGAUUGUGCAUUCGACCUUUACAAAUUGAAGCGAGAGGCUUUGCAUCUCUGAACAUCAGGAUUCCACUCUAUAAAAAGGAGAAUGAAAGCAUUCAGUUUAUAGGUUUGCUGUGAGGGCUCAACGAGAAUGUGGAUCCAAAAAAGCUUUGGAAACCAAAAUACCGCUAGUUAGCUUGCUGCUUUAUUAUCCAAAAGAGGCUGCAAAGAUUUGAGGUUUGUUUGUAGUUUGUUUGUAGAUUAGUCAGUGUCUACUAAAAUAACACUGUGUAACAACCAUGCCCAAAUCUUGGUGGCUUAAUACCUUAAACGUUAUUUUUCUCAUUCAUGAGGCUGUAGGUGGGUUGGAAUUUGGCAGAUGUAGGCUGGAAUUAGCUGGACCUGCCUCCAGGACCAGGGUUGGACCCAAGUCUUCUGUACGUGUCACCUUCUUUUGGUGCCAGUGCUACCUGGGAUUUUAAUUUCAUGGUUUUGCAGAAGCGUAAGAGGGCAUGCCAACCACGUGAACACUUUUAAAGCCUAACAUCCUAUAGGCCAAAGCCAGCCACAGGUCCAAACUCAACUUCAAUAGGCAGGGAAAGUCCUCCACCUACUUUACCAGGGGAGUACUGCAGAGCAAUGACCGAGGAAGGAAAUGUUUAAUCCUAUUAGGGAGGGAGGGGGGGACCAGGAACACAAAUCCCUCAAGGCAGGACGAGUAAUGGUUGGCUGCCCAAGGUUGACAGACUGGGUCUCAGUUCCUGGCACUGCUCCUCUCUAGCCAUGAGACUUUAGGCAAGUCAACAUUUCAGAGCCUCAGUUUCCUCAUCUGUAAAGUGGGUAUAAUAAUAGAAUUCUCACAGAAUUUCAGUGAGGAUUGCCUGAUUCAUGACAACAGCCUUAUAAGUGGUCCCCUUCUUUUACCUCGCAUCUUCUGUAAUCUCUUCUCUAUGCUUCAUCCUUUAAAUACAAAAGUCACCCGUAAAGACAGAAAACAGAUUAGUGGUGGCCAGAGGUGGUGGAGGGAGAGAGGGGGAGAAAUGAGAGAAGUGCUAAGGGGUAUGAGGUUUCCUUUUGGGGCGAUGAAAAUGUUCUAAAAUCGAUGUGGUUAUGGUUGUACAACUGCAAAUAUACAAUCCCUCUGCCUGGAACCUUUUCCCCAAGAAAUCUGCCCCCACCGUAAAUCCUCACUUGCAUACUGUAUAAUGAGGCUUUUCUGGACCACCCUAUUUAAUUACCCACUCCUUUCUGUCCAUGCCUCUCUCUCGAUAUAUUUUCUCUGAAUGUUUGUAGCAACUUGACAUAUUUUGCAUGCUUAUACACUAUGUACUUUAUAUUAAAGCACAGUUAUGUAAUUUAUUUCUCUGGUCCUUUCACCUCCUUUC
rnacentral:lncRNA from 1 species